rnacentral:rRNA from 1 species
UUGACCUCAAAUCAGGUAGGACUACCCGCUGAACUUAAGCAUAUCAAUAAGCGGAGGAAAAGAAACUAACAAGGAUUCCCCUAGUAACUGCGAGUGAAGCGGGAAAAGCUCAAAUUUGAAAUCUGAUGGUUUUUGACCGUCCGAGUUGUAAUCUAGAGAAGUGUUUACCCGUGCUGGACUGUGUACAAGUCUCCUGGAAUGGGGCAUCGUAGAGGGUGAGAAUCCCGUCUUUGACACGGACUGCCAGUGCACUAUGGGUGUGCUCUCGAAGAGUCGAGUUGUUUGGGAAUGCAGCUCAAAAUGGGUGGUAAAUGCCAUCUAAAGCUAAAUAUUGGCGAGAGACCGAUAGCGAACAAGUACCGUGAGGGAAAGAUGAAAAGAACUUUGGAAAGAGAGUUAAACAGUACGUGAAAUUGCUGAAAGGGAAACGCUUGAAGUCAGUCGCGUUGGCCAGAAAUCAGCCUUGCUUUUGCUUGGUGUAUUUUCUUGUCUUUACGGGUCAGCAUCAAUCUUGACCAUUGGAUAAGGUCUGUGGGAAUGUGGCAUCUUUGGAUGUGUUAUAGCCCAUGGUCGCAUACGGUGGUUGGGAUUGAGGAACUCAGCACGCCCGCGAGGGACGGGUUUCGACCACGUUUUCGUGCUUAGGAUGCUGGCAUAAUGGCUUUAAUCGACCCGU